rnacentral:rRNA from 1 species
UGACUCCYUGAGAGUCCUGAAGGAACGUUGAAGACGACGACGUUGAUAGGCCGGGUGUGUAAGCGCAGCGAUGCGUUGAGCUAACCGGUACUAAUGAACCGUGAGGCUUAACCUUACAACGCCGAAG